CUACGGGUGGCUGCAGUAGGGAAUAUUGCACAAUGGAGGAAACUCUGAUGCAGCAACGCCGCGUGGAGGAUGACACUUUUCGGAGCGUAAACUCCUUUUAUAUAGGAAGAGGAUGACGGUACUAUAUGAAUAAGCGCCGGCUAACUCCGUGCCAGCAGCCGCGGUAAUACGGAGGGCGCAAGCGUUGCUCGGAAUCACUGGGCGUAAAGAGCGUGUAGGCGGAUUAAAAAGUCAGAAGUGAAAUCCUAUAGCUUAACUAUAGAACUGCUUCUGAAACUCUUAAUCUAGAAUAUGGGAGAGGUAGAUGGAAUUUCUGGUGUAGGGGUAAAAUCCGUAGAGAUCAGAAGGAAUACCGAUUGCGAAGGCGAUCUACUAGAACAUUAUUGACGCUGAGACGCGAAAGCGUGGGGAGCAAACAGGAUUAGAUACCCGAGUAGUC
rnacentral:rRNA from 1 species